UACGGAGGGAGCUAGCGUUGUUCGGAUAUACUGGGCGUAAAGCGCACGUAGGCGGCGCAGCAAGUCAGGGGUGAAAUCCCGGAGCUCAACUCCGGAACUGCCUUUGAAACUGCAGUGCUAGAAUCCUGGAGAGGCGAGUGGAAUUCCGAGUGUAGAGGUGAAAUUCGUAGAUAUUCGGAAGAACACCAGUGGCGAAGGCGACUCGCUGGACAAGUAUUGACGCUGAGGUGCGAAAGCGUGGGGAGCAAACAGG
rnacentral:rRNA from 1 species